CGACAUGCAGACAUCCAUCAAGCCCCAGACAUCAAAAUUACAAAGCCUUGGUGGUCGGCCUUUCCAUUGGAAGUAGCCUGGAUGGACCGAGCACAAAAGUACAAGAUCCGAAGGCAUCCACAGUGCAGUCCUAGACAGAGACACUUCAGUGUGUCGAUGGAGACCACGGCAAGGACCACGGCUGCACAGGAUGCUAGCAAUAGAGGAAUUUGAACUGAGUUUGCGCAGCCCACCAGGCCAGCUUCCACACAACGUUGGAAACCGGCUGUGGCUGCAAAGUCAGGCAUGAUGGACUUUGCGUAGAUGAAGUAGUUACUGCAGAGAUUCGAAGUCUGGAUCGUAAGCUCUGACUGAACCAUGGUUGAGACUCAGCGGACUUUCAGGUAAGGUGGGGCUUGCUAUUACACCACUGACCUCAAACUGAAGCCCCCAUCAAACGGCAUCAGCCUCACUUGGGAACCUGGUAGGAAUAAAAAUCGUGGUCACCUCCCCAGGUCAAUAGAACCAUGAAUUCUUCCAAAUCCCGAUGUAAUUUUACUAACCCUCCAGGCAUUGCACACACGCCAACCUCCAGGAGCUGUUGUUCUGUGGGGCAGUUCUGACCCUUGCUGUCCACUCACUCAGCUGGGCACCUGUUCAUCAGUGCUGUGUCCCAACCCCAAGACACUUCACGAAACUGAUUUAGAGCAGACCCAGGUUUGGUUCUCUCAACUCUGCAAGGCCAGACACAGUGGUGCGUGCCCACAUUUCCAGCAUUUGACAUGCAUCGGCAGGAAGACCAUGAGUUGGGAUUCAGCUGAAAGACAUAGAGUUCCAGGAAGGCUUAGACUGACUAAUAAGACUGUGUCUAAAAAAAAAAAAAAAAAAGAGCAAAUGGCCCAGUGGAAGGCUCAAGAGGUAAAUGAGCUGGCUGCACAAGCCUCAGAAUUCAAUCCCCAAAACCCACAUGAAAAUCCAGAUGUGUUGUGAGCCUCUGUCAGUCUUGGCAUUCCCACAGCUGGAUGGAAGAUGGACACAGGAGGAUAGCCGGGAGUUUAUGGGCCACCUGGCCUAGAGUAUAUAGUCCUGCAUCAAACAAUAAAAAGCAAAACAAACUGGCUUCGACCAAGCAGAACGGA